AGCCUCCUUAGCUCACCUGGUAGAGCAACUGACUUGUAAUCAGUAGGUCGUUGGUUCGAUUCCGACAGGGGCUC
rnacentral:tRNA from 1 species